rnacentral:rRNA from 1 species
CGUUAGUUUUUUAAUUGGAAUCUUGUAUGAAUGGUUGGACAAAAGAAAGUCUGUCUUUGUAUCAUUAAUCGAAUUUAACUUUUAAGUGAAAAGGCUUAAAUAAAUUAAAGGGACGAUAAGACCCUAUAAAGCUUAAUAUUAAAAUUUUAUUUAGUUGAAUUUUUUGUUAUAAAAACUUAGUAAUUGAGUUUAUUUUAUUGGGGCGAUAAGAGUAAAAUGAUUAUUAACUGCUUAACUUUAAAUACAUUUAUAGAUGAUUAAAUUUUUAGAUGAUCCUAGUUAGAGAUUAAAAGUUUAAGUUACUUUAGGGAUAACAGCGUUAUUUUUCUUAAGAGUACUUAUCGAAAGAAA